GGGGGCGAAACGGUUUCGACUGUCUAGGUGGAACGCAGGUCGCAUGCGGAGGAUGAUCGUUGGCCUCCUUAAUCAUCGGUCAAAAAAAUAACUGCGAAUAACCAACUCGCUCUCGCUGCUUAAGUUCAGCGACGUCUCUACCUGGAUGCCUGAUAAGGGCUAGAGGCGAACACAUCAGGCUGGCUGGAAGGUCGUGCCAGCGGGCUGACCAGUAAGAUUAAACAGAUGGCUGCUUUCACCGGCCGGCGUGGACGCCGCCUAACCGGAGAAAUAAGACUAAAUAGCGUCCUAAGCAUGUAGAAGCCUUCGGAAAAUCUCUUCAGGACCCGGGUUCAAAUCCCGGCGCCUCCACCA
rnacentral:tmRNA from 1 species